UGCUUAAUGAAGAGCUCUAGAUGGCUUCAACGGAAAAGUAAUACAGGCACAAAUACGGACACUGAUGCAAUAUGGUGCAUGUAAGCAAAGGGAGUACAUUCAUCCCCUGUGCUGUCAGUGACUGAGAGCAAAGAAGACUUUGCGGACUUCCGAGCUAGCCCUUGAAGUAUGCUAUGAAUGGGAAAGGAGAUGGUUUCGGAAUACGACGACAACCAUGGCGCCAUAAAAGUAUCAGAUGCCUGAAAGACGAGGCAGAGCCUGUGGCCAGAA